rnacentral:rRNA from 1 species
UACAGAGGGUGCGAACGUUGCUCGGAAUUACUGGGCGUAAAGCGCGUGUAGGCGGAUCGGCAAGUCAGGCGUGAAAUCCCCAGGCUCAACCUGGGAACUGCGCUUGAAACUGCCGGUCUGAGUGUCGGAGAGGGUGGCGGAAUUCCUGGUGUAGAGGUGAAAUUCGUAGAUAUCAGGAGGAACACCGGUGGCGAAGGCGGCUCCCUGGUCCGUCCCUGGACGCUGAGACGCGAAAGCGCGGGGAGCGAACGGG